rnacentral:lncRNA from 1 species
CAGGCACGUGAUGAGAAAAAGUUUAGGUCUGUGUGGGCUGGAAACAGAAUGCCUUUCUUUUGGAAGGACACGUCCUUAAUGAGAGAGGACAGCUCAAAAGCUGAGAAACAGGGCAUGGCCUCGGAUUCUGCUCCCCUCGAACUUUCUUUUUCCCUUUGUCUUCUCUGAUUUUAGAAAAUGUUAACAAGCAGGAAACCUGGAUGAAGACGUGGGCGUUCCACAAACUCCUAAGCUGGGGAAGUGCCCUGAAGAGGCUUCUCUCGUCUCCCUCCCCCAUUCAUCUGCUGUAGCCUGAGCUGCUCUGGAACUUGCUAUGUAGAUCAGGUGGAUCAAAAGCUUGCAGAAAUCCUCUGGCCUCUACCCCCCAAGGUCUGGGAUUUAAGGUAUGUGCUACAAUGUCAGGAUAUAUUUAGAACUCUGCCUCUGUCUGUCUG